rnacentral:rRNA from 1 species
AGUAAAUUUUAUGGUCAAGCUACUAAGGGCGCAUGGUGGAUGCCUUGGCAGUAGGAGGCGAAGAAGGACGUGGUAAGCUGCGAUAAGCCUCGGGGAGCCGCAAACAGGCUUUGAUCCGGGGAUUUCCGAAUGGGGAAACCCUAUGCGGUAAAACCGCAUAACGGCCCGACGAAUCCAUAGUCGGGUGCGAGCAAACCCAGGGAAGUGAACCAUCUCAGUACCUGGAGGAAAAGAAAGAAAUUCGAUUCCGAAAGUAGUGGCGAGCGAAAUCGGAASAGCCCAAACCCGUUGAACCUUCGGGUUCAGCGGGGGUUGUAGGACCCGCAACAGUAGAGUUACCAAUCCAGUCACUAGUCGAAGCCCUCUGGAAAGAGGGGCCAUAGAGUGUGAUAGCCACGUAGGCGAAAGUGAUCUGGACUCGAAGCGGGCACCUAAGUACCGCGGGGCACGUGAAACCCUGCGGGAAUCUGCGGAGACCAUUCCGCAAGGCUAAAUACUACCUACUGACCGAUAGUGAACCAGUACCGUGAGGGAAAGGUGAAAAGAACCCCUGCGAGGGGAGUGAAAUAGUACCUGAAACCGUGUGCCUACAAGCAGUGGGAGGGCUAUGCCCGUAAGGGAAUGCCUGACCGCGUGCCUAUUGCAUAAUGAGCCGGCUAGUUA